AGCAGCAUGGCGCAGUUGGAAGCGCGCGGGGCCCAUAUCUAUCACGUGAUUAACCCCGAGGUCACUCGAUCGAAACGAGUUGCUGCUA